UACGUAGGGUGCGAGCGUUAAUCGGAAUUACUGGGCGUAAAGCGUGCGUAGGCGGUUUUCCAAGACAGAUGUGAAAUCCCCGGGCUCAACCUGGGAAUGGCAUUUGUGACUGGAAGGCUAGAGUGUGUCAGAGGGGGGUAGAAUUCCGCGUGUAGCAGUGAAAUGCGUAGAUAUGCGGAGGAACACCGAUGGCGAAGGCAAUCCCCUGGGCCUGCACUGACGCUCAUGCACGAAAGCGUGGGGAGCAAACAGG
rnacentral:rRNA from 1 species